rnacentral:pre_miRNA from 1 species
UGGGAAUAGGAACAUGGAGGAAAGCCUAAAGCUAAAUUUUCUGCUCCAGUAUUGGAGCUAGAGAUUUGCUCAGUUUUCCCGAUGCCUCCUAUUCCUA